rnacentral:misc_RNA from 1 species
UAUGAACCGGGCGCUUCGGCGCUCACCAUCAUCACCCUCUGCCUAUGUGUACCUCAUCAUUGCUUCCUCGGCGGGCUCGCCCGCCGCCAGGAACCCCAUAAACCCUUUGCAUCGUACAUGAAAACUUCCGAUACAAAACCUAAAUUAUCA